GAUGAAGAACGCAGCGAAAUGCGAUACUUGGUGUGAAUUGCAGAAUCCCGUGAACCAUCGAGUCUUUGAACGCAAGUUGCGCCCGAAGCCAUUAGGCCGAGGGCACGCCUGCCUGGGCGUCACACGUCGUUGCCCCCCCAUCUACUCCUUCGGGAUUGCGGGGGCGGAUGAUGGCCUCCCGUGCGCCUCGUCGCGCGGUUGGCAUAAAUGCCAAGUCCUCGGCGACGCACGCCACGACAAUCGGUGGUUGCGAAACCUCGGUUGCCCGUCGUGUGCGGUCGUCGCGCAUCGAGGGCUCGAAAAAAGUGCCGGGCUCCGGCUCGGCUUUCAACGCGACCCCAGGUCAGGCGGGGUUACCCGCUGAAUUUAAGCAUAUCAAUAAGCGGAGGA
rnacentral:misc_RNA from 1 species